CGCGUAGGCGGUUUAUUAAGUCAGAUGUGAAAGCCCCGGGCUCAACCUGGGAAUUGCAUUUGAUACUGGUAAACUAGAGUUUGGUAGAGGGUGACGGAAUUCCAGGUGUAGCGGUGAAAUGCGUAGAUAUCUGGAGGAACAUCAGUGGCGAAGGCGGUUGCCUGGACCAAAACUGACGCUGAGGUGCGAAAGCGUGGGGAGCAAACA
rnacentral:rRNA from 1 species